ACAUUGCAAUUUAGAUAUCUUCUUAGUUGCAAUUUUUUCGAAUAAUAUCGGUGACCAAUCGAAAUAGAAAUUAGUGCGGAAAGAGGGGAAGGAAUGAAAAUUUGAAAAUCGACAUCGGUAACUCAGUAGUUAUAGAAUAACUCAAUCGAUAACGUAGAUUAACUAGUUAUAAAUGAAAAUAUAUUUAAAUUCAAACUUUAAAAAUUAGAAAUUAAAAAGCAGAAGACAAAAAAUUGUCGCCGAGGAUUUAUAUAAUAAUAAAUAGACAGUACAUUCAUUUUGUCUGUCUUACCUAGAAAUAAAACAGUUGUCCCAAUUGAUCAUUAUAGUAUAGUGUGUACUCAUAGCAUAAAAUUUGUUCAAUGAAUUAAAAAUUAUAUUUUUUAGAUAUGUAGACAUUAGCGAUGUAUUAAUCCGGAAAGCUCGUCUACCUCGGAAAUAUCGAGUCUGCGACAACGUCGAUUUGGACAUUAUUCUUACAGAAUAUGAAAAUUAUUACAAGAUGAAAUUCCAAAAUUAUCCUAUAUUGUGCAAGGAAAUAACUGAAGAGGAAAUAAAGACGAGGGAAAUGACAAAUGAGAACAAAGUCAAACAAAGGAGAAGUGAGUCUGUAUCUGGGUCUGUGAAAGGGAGGAAUGCACAACAGAAGAUGAGGGGUGAUGCUACGGAUGAUAUUAAUCUCGCAAUGACAUUGACAUCAAUUUUCGACAAUGAAAGCGAUGAAUCUUCAUCAGAAGAGGAGCUAUUUAACAUCUUAAUGGAACAAUCCACGCAAUCAAAGAUAUCAAAAUAGGCUCAGAAGCUUUAUAUAGACAAUCCGAGAUUGUGGAAGAUUGCUGAAGACAUUUUAUCCGUAAGUUAUUUUCAAUUAAUAUACGUAUUGUAAAGCUUUUUAAAAAUAAAAUACCUAUCCUUGGAUAAACAAUCCACUGUAUAUCAAUAUCCGACAAAUGUAUUGUUGUAUAUAUCCACUGUAUAUCCAACAAAUACCUUGGAUAAACAAUCCACUGUAUAUCAAUGACGCAGGGAUUUCAGUAAAGCUUUAAAUAAUGAAUUACAUAACACUUAUGGAAAUUAAUAUGAAGAUUAUGAGCCAUUUCAUCUUUGUAUUGUCGCAGGAAAUCAUACUGAAAAACUUAAAUGUAUAUUGGGACAACAUCGUAGGCCUAGAGGAAUGUAGAUCUGCCAUUAAGGAGGCCAUUGUGUAUCCCCUUAAGUACCCUAUCUUUUUUAAAGGCCCAUUUUCUCCCUGGAAAGGUAUUCUGCUAAUGAAAAUUCUAAUGUAGUUCUUUUGGCUGCAACUAAUUGCCCUUGGUAUGUAUAUCACGCUAUUUCAAUGUUUUCUAAGUAGAAAAUAUCUUAAUAUCAUAAUUAUUCAUUAUCUUAACCUUAAUUAUUGUGUUGUUCAGAAUAUUCCUUCGUUAUUAUUAAUAUAACAGAACAAUAAUAUUUAUUGUAAAUAUAUUAUUAGGGACAUUGAUGCAGCUUUACGCAGACGCCUCG